UCUUGCUACAAGUUUCUUCUUGGGUUUACACGUUGGUGAUUCUUGUAGUUGCCUCGUGCACAACCUUGUUCAUGUCUCCUUCUUUUCCUGAUCCUCUAGUUCACAGGGUAACCGUGCAGGCAACUGGUGGUGGAGUCUCGCUGGAUGAUGUGACGGCAGCCAUCGUCCAUAUUAAUCGAUUCAGUAUGUAUGCUCAAACUUUCCCUUGUAAGGCAAGACACUUCAGAGACCAAUGGUUGACAGUCACAGCUGAUACGUAGAACUGCAGGUGCACACAACAGCUGCUUCAUCAAGUUCUCUGAAAAAAGCUUGUGUUCUGGUUGAGUUAUUGUGAAGUUGUAGUUGCUAACUUGCUAUUAACUUGAAAAAAGAUAUGUUAAUUUGGUUAAUUUCCUUUGGCUAGUGUCACGUGUAAACUGAAGCAUGUAAACAAUACCAUUUUUUCUAUUUGAUGCAUCCUCUCAAAGCUGAUGUGUCUCACUUCCAUGGAAUUAACCACUUCAACCAAGAAACCAAAUUUUGUUUUACAAAAUUAAUAUCAUCUCCAAGUUCCAGCUGAGUCUCUCCAAUGGAAGUACUCCACCAAAUAUAUUUCUAAAAUCUGCAGGUUGAACGACUACCAAAUACAUAGGGUUAUACAGAAACAAUGUCAUAUAUAAUGAAGAACUUGACUAGGAAAUUAGACUUUGCUGUGAUGCCAAAUCUGUCUCUAUUAAAAUAACCAUAACAAGGAGCCACAUGGUGGCGUGUAGAGUUGAAAUGAAGUUCUCCUUUGCAAAACACUAGAUAAUGGUGUGUUCUAGACUUGUAGACCAGUUACAUCACAUAGCACAGGAGUGAACUUUUUCUUUUGCUCUCCAUAUAAUACAGAGGUCUGCACAUUGAAUUUUGUUCCUUACAUUUCAUAUAAUAAUGUUACAAAACAAUUACCUCAUGAAAACAAUAUCCACCGUAAGUUGUUGUACAAAUAGUAAGUCAAGGCAGGCAAAGUCACCAGUAAUCCCCACAAGAACAUUAGGUGUCAAAUUCCAAUAAUUAUGUAACAGCGGGUUGGUAGUGGUCGCCAUUGUUCUCACUGGUAUCUUAAUAUGUUUUUUUAUUGUUGCUAGGCUCCUCUGUUCCUGUCAGCUUCAGUAGCUCAUUGAUUAAGAUGUAUGAUUGGGUGACCAGCUGCAAGCUCUGGAUGCCAAGGGUGGAGCUUUAAAAGUACUUGAAAAAAUUGUGAUUGCCUAUUCCAUGAUGCAAAUUUCACCAUCCAGUUGAUGGGUCUGCACCUGAUUCCAUUUCAAAGUGGGAGCCUUCUCAGCAAUCUGUGAUGCUUACUCUUGCUGGCCUUCCAAGGAGAGAGGUAACAUCCAGAAAUAAUCGUACUAGCAUGUUGAUAAUUCAGGAUUAUAAAUGCCGUUUGUGGUUCUUUGUUGCUAGAACAUUCCCUUCCCGGGUCGGUUUGGUGAAUCAGCCGUUGUAUUAGUAAGCCGUUGGCACUAGUCCUUUCACGAUAAGGAUCUCUCAAUUGCUGAAAACUAACUAAAUAUCACUAUGAGAUUUUACGGUGAGGAAUGGUGAAUAUUACCAUGUUGCUAUGCAUGGUAGGAUGCCUCUCGCUCUUGAAUCAUAAUUUCAUGAAAUGUUGUUGUCAAAUGCAAAUACUCAGUGUGUUCUACAGUCCCCUUUGCAUACCUUUUGCCUUUGCUUUCUUGGAUAGUUAUUCAUUAGUCGGUGUCAUCGAUUAUAACUUCACAUCGUCAAUGUUCAGCUUGUUUUUCAAACACCUGUGGAAGUUGCUGCAGGACACAUCAUGGGGCGGACGCGAAGGCCUUCAUAGGUAGAGCAGAGCGAGGUCGAUACGGUGGCCAGGCGUGGUCUAGAGAACUGGUGGCUGGUGGUGCGUGAGUUGGAGGCGAGGUGACGUCAUUGACCAAGACGCCUCGUAUAUCCUCAUCUCGUGCCUCCGGGAGAGGAGCUCAUCGAGGAUCCCCUCUUCUCCAUGGAUCCACGAUAGAGGGUCAUAUAUGGAGGAGUGGAUUUGAAAGGAAAGAAUUCCAAUUAGUUGCUUUUGAGGAUGUUCCCGAGGCACUAAAGAACUGGUAGUCUCAUCGUAUGACGGUAUGUAUCUAUUUGGUCAUCAUGUAUAUUGUGUAAACAUAAAAUGAUGCACUGAAUGCACUGCGCUCUUUCCAAUUUUUAUUGUGUC